GAUGAACGCUGGCGGCGUGCCUAAUACAUGCAAGUCGAGCGAAUGGAUUAAGAGCUUGCUCUUAUGAAGUUAGCGGCGGACGGGUGAGUAACACGUGGGUAACCUGCCCAUAAGACUGGGAUAACUCCGGGAAACCGGGGCUAAUACCGGAUAACAUUUUGAACCGCAUGGUUCGAAAUUGAAAGGCGGCUUCGGCUGUCACUUAUGGAUGGACCCGCGUCGCAUUAGCUAGUUGGUGAGGUAACGGCUCACCAAGGCAACGAUGCGUAGCCGACCGGGGGGGGUGAUCGGCCACACUGGGACUGGGACACGGCCCAGACUCCUACGGGAGGCAGCAGUGGGGAAUCUUCCGCAAUGGACGAAAGUCUGACGGAGCAACGCCGCGUGAGUGAUGAAGGCUUUCGGGUCGUAAAACUCUGUUGUUAGGGAAGAACAAGUGCUAGUUGAAUAAGCUGGCACCUUGACGGUACCUAACCAGAAAGCCACGGCUAACUACGUGCCAGCAGCCGCCGUAA
rnacentral:rRNA from 1 species